rnacentral:rRNA from 1 species
GGGCGUAAGCGCGCGCAGGCGGCCUUUUAAGUUGGAUGUGAAAGCCUAUGGCUCAACCAUAGAACUGCAUCCAAAACUAUCAGGCUAGAGUGUGGGAGAGGAAGAUGGAAUUAGUUGUGUAGGGGUAAAAUCCGUAGAGAUAACUAGGAAUACCAAAAGCGAAGGCAAUCUUCUGGAACAUUACUGACGCUGAGGCGCGAAAGCGUGGGGAGCAAACAGGAUUAGAUACCCUGGUAGUCCACGCCCUAAACGAUGAAUGUUAGUCGUCGGGUAGCUAGUCUAUUCGGUGAUGCAGCUAACGCAUUAAACAUUCCGCCUGGGGAGUACGGUCGCAAGAUUAAAACUCAAAGGAAUAGACGGGGACCCGCACAAGUGGUGGAGCAUGUGGUUUAAUUCGAAGAUACGCGAAGAACCUUACCUAGCCUUGACAUAUUUUAGAACACUUUAGAGAUAGAGUGGUGCCUUCGGGAGCUAAUAUACAGGUGCUGCACGGCUGUCGUCAGCUCGUGUCGUGAGAUGUUGGGUUAAGUCCCGCAACGAGCGCAACCCUCGUCACUAGUUACUAACGGUUCGGCCGAGGACUCUAGUGAGACUGCCUUCGCAAGGAGGAGGAAGGUGAGGACGACGUCAAGUCAUCAUGGCCCUUACGGCUAGGGCAACACACGUGCUACAAUGGCCAGGACAAUGAGAAGCGAUACCGCGAGGUGGAG